CCGGUGUUGCUGUCACCCCAAUCCCAGUCCAGGUGUUGUUCCCAGUCCAGGUGUUCCUCCCAGUCCAGGUGUUCCUCCCAGUCCCGGUGUUGCUCCCAGUCCCGGUGUUCCUCCCAGUCCCGGUGUCGCUCCCGGUCCCGGUGUUGCUCCCGGUCCCGGUGUUCCUCCCGGUCCCGGUGUUGCUCCCGGUCCUGGUGUUGCUCCCAGUCCCGGUGUCGCUCCCGGUCCCAGUGUUGCUCCCGGUCCCGGUGUCGCUCCCGGUCCCGGUGUUGCUCCCGGUCCUGGUGUUGCUCCCAGUCCCGGUGUCGCUCCCGGUCCCGGUGUUGCUCCCGGUCCCGGUGUCGCUCCCGGUCCCGGUGUUGCUCCCGGUCCCGGUGUUGCUCCCGGUCCCGGUGUUGCUCCCGGUCCCGGUGUUGUUGCUCCCGGGAAGCGGCGGCGGCGCAGCCCCCGCAAUGGAGGCGCCGGCGCUGACCCAGGAAGUGCAGCCUUCGUCCCCCCCCCCUCCUCCUCCUCUUCCUC
rnacentral:lncRNA from 1 species